CAUUGUUCACUUUCAUUUUGAAAUAAUGAAAUCCAUAAGUACAUACUUUGCCCAGUACCCACUUACGAUGCUAUCUUACAAUAAUGUACAACUGUAAGUUUCCAAGGUUUUCCCCCACAACUGAGACUACAAGGAUUAAAAAAAAAAAAAAACAAAGAAGUAAAAAAUUUGUAAUUUCACACUACAAUUGAGCUUGGAACUAUAAAGAUUGUUCCCACCUGAAGGCACCUAGCUUUACUGGCCAGUGGCCACUGCCAUCUGCAAGAUUAACACACCUUUGAUGUCAGAAUGGACAGAACCUGUUGAUCACUUGCAGCUAAAAAAAUUCCCCAAAUUAAUGCCGAAUUUCCAAUAGUCUCUUUGCCUAUUUUGCAAAAACUUCCCAUUUUAUCUCCGCCUAGAAGGUUGCUCUGCCGGAGUCAGCUUCCGAAAUGAGGCAUGCAAAAUCAUAACUGCAUAGCUGACACCAAGGGCAUAGAAGAGAGCCAUUUGAACAUUUAAACAAACAAGAAUAACUACAGUAGCACACUGAGCAGUGCGAACCAAAACCUGCCUAAUUGCAGGGUAUAGAUCCAAUCCCCAUCUAUCACUGCAGAACUUGAAAAUAUCCCAAAGUGCCAAACUUGAUAUCAAUCCUAUGAGAGCAACUGGCAUUUGAUACAGAGUACAAGCACAGAAGAGGAUAAAGAGAGAGGCGUAGUUUCUGGCAUAACGCUUAACAUUCUCAUGAACCCGGAGUCUGGCCUGGUCAUUACCGGAAGGGAAGGAGUAGGACCCACACUCGCCGAAAAAAGCGCGGGUCCAGCAGGGGGUUUGACCGGAGAAAUCAUCGGUGGUGAGCUUAGAGAGUGGAUUCAGAGUAAAGAGAGAGAGAAGAGUAAGGAUACGGGAAAACAGAGAAACAAAAAAGCCACCAGUUAUUGAGACAGUGGUAGGAGUGUUAGAGGAGGCGGCGGCCGUGGUGGUGGUGGUGGUUGUGGUAGUGGAGGAGGAGUGGUGGUCGAGGAUUUCGAGGUAGCCGGAGUCGCGGAGCCAUGACUCGAAGGCAGCGUCCGGGACGCUUAGAGCCAGUGGGUUCGUUGAGAAUGCCAUUGCAAAUUGCAAUGGAGCAUUCUAGCCUUGGGAUUCGGCCUAUAUUCCUUCCGUUCAGUAAACAGCCCCUUUUAU
rnacentral:misc_RNA from 1 species